AAGGGAGAGGAAUAAGUAGAAAUCUACCCUCGGAUCGGGGAUAGCGGCGGGAAACUGCCGGUAAUACCCGAUAACGUCUUUGGACCAAAGGUGUGAUUCCGUCUGAGGAUGAGUCUACUUCCUAUUAGCUAGUUGGCGGGGUAAUGGCCCACCAAGGCAACGAUGGGUAGCAGGUGUGAGAGCAUGACCUGCCUCAUUGGGACUGAGACACUGCCCAGACACCUACGGGUGGCUGCAGUCGAGAAUCUUCGGCAAUGGACGAAAGUCUGACCGAGCGACGCCGCGUGCGGGAUGAAGGCCUUCGGGUUGUAAACCGCUGUCGUAGGGGAACAAGUAUACGGGGGUUCUCCCCUGUGUUUGAGUGAUCCUAGGAGGAAGGAGAGGCUAAGCUCGUGCCAGCAGCCGCGGUAAGACGAGCUCUCCAAACGUUAUUCGGUAUCACUGGGCUUAAAGAGUUCGUAGGCGGUCUGGUAGGUGAGGUGUGAAAUCCCCCGGCUCAACCGGGGAACUGCGCUUCAAACCGCCGGACUUGAGGGAGACAGAGGUGGGCGGAACAGAUGGU
rnacentral:rRNA from 1 species